UGCUGGUGAAAAUGAAACUACUUCUUCUCGCGCUCCUGGUUUUGUCAUCGGCCUGGCAAAUAAUGGCCAAGGUCAUUGAUGCUCGUCCAACAGCGCCGGGAAUGUUGCAUAUCAGCAAGCGACAAGUGACAUGCGACAAUUAUCAAUGUUGUGAUGAUGAAGGCGAAUGUUUUAGUAGAAUCGAUUGAUAAUCUCUUGCUGCUUGAUUAUCUUAGUUAAUACAGUGAAAUACAAACAUUUGUGAGAUGUAAAUAAAUUUUGUACAUUUUCUCGAUCAAAUUUUGAAAUUUUUCGAAUCCUACUGGCGGAUGCUAGUGCUGAAUAUAUUAUGUUGACGGAAAUAAAAA